UACAGAGGUCUCAAGCGUUGUUCGGAUUCAUUGGGCGUAAAGGGUGUGUAGGUGGCGCCGUAAGUCGGGUGUGAAAUUUCGGAGCUUAACUCCGAAACUGCAUUCGAUACUGCGGUGCUUGAGGACUGGAGAGGAGACUGGAAUUCAUGGUGUAGCAGUGAAAUGCGUAGAGAUCAUGAGGAAGACCAGUGGCGAAGGCGGGUCUCUGGACAGUUCCUGACGCUGAGGCACGAAGGCCAGGGGGAGCAAAACGGGG
rnacentral:rRNA from 1 species